GAUGAACGCUGGCGGCGUGCCUAAUACAUGCAAGUCGAGCGAACGGACGAGAAGCUUGCUUUUCUGAUGUUAGCGGCGGACGGGUGAGUAACACGUGGAUAACCUACCUAUAAGACUGGGAUAACUUCGGGAAACCGGAGCUAAUACCGGAUAAUAUUUUGAACCGCAUGGUUCAAAAGUGAAAGACGGUCUUGCUGUCACUUAUAGAUGGAUCCGCGCUGCAUUAGCUAGUUGGUAAGGUAACGGCUUACCAAGGCAACGAUGCAUAGCCGACCUGAGAGGGUGAUCGGCCACACUGGAACUGAGACACGGUCCAGACUCCUACGGGAGGCAGCAGUAGGGAAUCUUCCGCAAUGGGCGAAAGCCUGACGGAGCAACGCCGCGUGAGUGAUGAAGGUCUUCGGAUCGUAAAACUCUGUUAUUAGGGAAGAACAUAUGUGUAAGUAACUGUGCACAUCUUGACGGUACCUAAUCAGAAAGCCACGGCUAACUACGUGCCAGCAGCCGCGGUAAUACGUAGGUGGCAAGCGUUAUCCGGAAUUAUUGGGCGUAAAGCGCGCGUAGCGGUUUUUUAAGUCUGAUGUGAAAGCCCACGGCUCAACCGUGGAGGGUCAUUGGAAACUGGAAAACUUGAGUGCAGAAGAGGAAAGUGGAAUUCCAUGUGUAGCGGUGAAAUGCGCAGAGAUAUGGAGGAACACCAGUGGCGAAGGCGACUUUCUGGUCUGUAACUGACGCUGAUGUGCGAAAGCGUGGGGAUCAAACAGGAUUAGAUACCCUGGUAGUCCACGCCGUAAACGAUGAGUGCUAAGUGUUAGGGGGUUUCCGCCCCUUAGUGCUGCAGCUAACGCAUUAAGCACUCCGCCUGGGGAGUACGACCGCAAGGUUGAAACUCAAAGGAAUUGACGGGGACCCGCACAAGCGGUGGAGCAUGUGGUUUAAUUCGAAGCAACGCGAAGAACCUUACCAAAUCUUGACAUCCUUUGACAACUCUAGAGAUAGAGCCUUCCCCUUCGGGGGACAAAGUGACAGGUGGUGCAUGGUUGUCGUCAGCUCGUGUCGUGAGAUGUUGGGUUAAGUCCCGCAACGAGCGCAACCCUUAAGCUUAGUUGCCAUCAUUAAGUUGGGCACUCUAAGUUGACUGCCGGUGACAAACCGGAGGAAGGUGGGGAUGACGUCAAAUCAUCAUGCCCCUUAUGAUUUGGGCUACACACGUGCUGCAAUGGACAAUACAAAGGGCAGCGAAACCGCGAGGUCAAGCAAAUCCCAUAAAGUUGUUCUCAGUUCGGAUUGUAGUCUGCAACUCGACUACAUGAAGCUGGAAUCGCUAGUAAUCGUAGAUCAGCAUGCUACGGUGAAUACGUUCCCGGGUCU
rnacentral:rRNA from 1 species